AUGUGGGCUGCCUCCCCGGCCUUCCGCAUGCAGCUCUUCCUGCUCCGCUCUCUCGUGCCCACCUGCGUAGAUGACGGCCACGCCUCCUCGAGCUAUCUUCGUCCCCGCGCGAUGUAUGCAACAUCGGCGGACGCGGAGUCGGUGAUCCAGCGAAUCACGCCUCCGCUCGAUCGCGCAAGGCACAAGGGUCAGACAGGUUCUUAUUUAUCUAUGCCUAUAUGUUGUUCCAUGAAAAUACAAGUAGACUCCAAGGUGGUGCUGCUUGGAUCUGGGGGAGCACUGGUGAGCCAUCCCUUCUCCGCCACCAUCCCUGAUUUCUUUGUGUGCAGUACAUAUGCAUGUUGUUUUAGAGCUACCCCCGUAUACAUCUGA
rnacentral:rRNA from 1 species